rnacentral:rRNA from 1 species
GAUGAACGCUGGCGGCGUGCCUAAUACAUGCAAGUCGAGCGAACGUUUGGGAGCUUGCUCCCACAAGUUAUCGCCGGACGGGUGAGUAACACGUGUGUAACCUGCCUGUAAGACUGGGAUAUCUUCGGGAAACCGGAGCUAAUACCGGAUAACAUUUAAUACACCAUAGCCUUCAAUUAAAAAAUAGCUUUUAGCUACCACUUACAGAUGGACCCGCGGCGCAUUAGCUAGUUGGUAAGGUAACGGCUCACCAAGGCAACGAUGCUUAGCCGACCUGAGAGGGGAUCGGCCCACCUGGGACCGAGGCCACGCCCCAGACUCCUACGGGGGGCGCCGGAGGGGAACCUUCCGCAAUGACGGAAGGCCUGACGGGCCACGCCGGCGGGGGGGAGAAGGGCCUCCGGUUGGUAAGCCCCGUUGUUAGGGAAGGACCAGUAGUGUUCGAAUCGGGGGGCAUCUUGACGGUACCUAACCAGAAAGCCACGGCUAACUACGUG